AUGUGAUCGUCUCUCGCAUAUCAAUAAGCGGAGGAAAAGAAACUAACAAGGAUUCCCCUAGUAACGGCGAGUGAAGCGGGAAGAGCUCAAAUUUGAAAUCUUAAAGGGUUUCCCUUUACGAAUUGUAGUUUAAAGAAGUGUUUUCUGUUGAGGUUUUGGUAAAAGUUCUUUGGAAUAGGACAUCAUAGAGGGUGAGAAUCCCGUAUUUGACCUUUACUUUCAACUUUGUGAUACACUUUCAAAGAGUCGGAUUGUUUGGGAAUGCAGUCCAAAAUGGGUGGUAAAUUUCAUCUAAAGCUAAAUAUUGGCGAGAGACCGAUAGCGAACAAGUACCGUGAGGGAAAGAUGAAAAGAACUUUGAAAAGAGAGUUAAACGGUACGUGAAAUUGUCAAAAGGGAAGCGUUUGACACCAGUGUUGUUUUUCUGAAAAUCAAUUAAAGAACUGUUUAUGCUAAGCUGUUUAGACUUUAUCAGCUAUCUGUUUAGUUUUGAGCCUUUCUUUAAUGCACUUUUCAGUUAACAAGUCAACAUCAAUUUCUUUUGCUGUAAAAAAGCUUGAGGAAGGUGGCUUGAGAUUCGUCUUAAGUGUUUAUAGCCUCUUGCCUAUGCAGUCGGAGAGAUUGAGGUCUGCAGCGUAGAUCCUUCGGGGCUAAAUGCAUUUGUGCUAAGUUAUAGCAUUUUAUAGACAACUUGUUGACUAUGAUUUGUCUUGUAGCUUACUCGCUUAUGUCAUUUUACCUACGCUUAGGAUGUUGACACACGCGCGUGCUCG
rnacentral:rRNA from 1 species